GUCAAAUUGUCAAGGAUGAUGAAUUGCCGAGCAGUUUGAUGAUAUUUUUAUUACUUGGAAGGGGAACACGAUGUCAAGUCCUCUAUUGGUUCACAUAGAUAUGCGCUCUGUUUCUGUGGAGCUUGAGAUUCUUGGCAGGCAUCAGCACCCUGAAUUGACCAUUCCCUUUUUAAA